GCAUAUCAAUAAGCGGAGGAAAAGAAACCAACAGGGAUUGCCCUAGUAACGGCGAGUGAACAGGCAAGAGCUCAGAUUUGAAAGGCACUUUUGUGCCGUUGUAUUCUGAAGUUAGGGUCCUGAGAAACGAUGCUUAAGUCUUCUGGAAAGGAGCGCCAUGGAGGGUGAUAGCCCCGUCUAGCAUUGACCUCAUAUAGGAUCUUAACAUGGAGUCGAGUUGUUUGGGAAUGCAGCUCAAAUGGGUGGUAUGCUCCAUCUAAAGCUAAAUAUCUGCGAGAGACCGAUAGUAAACAAGUACUGUGAGGGAAAGAUGAAAAGAACUUUGAAAAGAGAGUGAAAAAGUACGUGAAAUUGUUGAAAUGGAAGGGUAGGCCGCUAACCAUGUAGAGCCGUGUUUGGGGGGAAGAUAAAUGCUGUAGAAUGUAGCUCCUCGGAGUAUUAUAGAUGCAGUUCAUAUUCCCACCCGAGCGCGAGGAUCUCAGGUUCUACUAAAUGGUGGUCUACCACCCGUCUUGAAACACGGACCAAGGAGUCUAUUGUCUGCGCGAGUAUUUGGGUGUCAAACCCAUAUGCGAAGUGAAAGCGAAAGGUUCUAACCUUCGGGUUCAGAAUCGUCCGACCGUUUAUAGAAGCGGAUUGAGUAAGAGCGUGGAUGAUGGGACCCGAAAGAUGGUGAACUAUGCCUGAAUAGGGUGAAGCCAGAGGAAACUCUGGUGGAGGCUCGCAGCGGUUCUGACGUGCAAAUCGAUCGUCAAAUUUGGGUAUAGGGGCGAAAGACUAAUCGAACCAUCUAGUAGCUGGUUCCUGCCGAAGU
rnacentral:rRNA from 1 species